AACGGCGUCAAGCCCUUUUGCUAAUUAGAGUCCAUUCUGUUGACAUUCUUGCCCCUCCCCCAUGGUUUUGUGAUGGUUUUUCUCCCUGGCAAUGCUAAAGCAUCUCCUCUAUCUUGCAAACUGACAGGAGAGAGGUUUUCAAGCAGCAGGUGGGGAUGGCUUCUGUGGCUUUCGAAGCCGGUAGUCAAGGGCGUUGGAAUGACCACCUGAAGAUGGGAGGGGAAAGAAGCUCACAACAAGUAAUUCUUGGCUUCAUCCAGAAGCACACGCAUCGGCUGGCUAGGAGUCUGACAGAAGCCGUGAAGGAAACAGCCCUUGCUAUGUGAAGAAGAGCCUCCUAAGUCAUGUCUGAGCCACAGAGAUGGGGAAGCUCGAGGAUAACGAGAGGGUGAUCCUCAACGUCGGGGGCACCAGGCACGAGACCUACCGAAGCACCCUCAAGACGCUGCCGGGCACCCGCCUGGCGCUGCUCGCCUCUCAGUCCCGAAGCGAGUCCCCUGGCUGCGGAGGAGAGGAACUGCCCCAGCCGCCGCCUGCCCUGCCGCUUCUGCCCGCCCCCAACCCAGGCCCCGUCGCAGCCAAUCCCGGCGGAGGCUUCCCGGAGGGCGGGGGCGGGGGCGGGGCCGUGGGCGAGGGCGGCGGCGGCGGCGCUGCUGCGAGUGGCGGGAAUGGCGCGUGCUGCGAGUUCUUUUUCGACCGCCACCCGGGAGUCUUCGCCUACGUGCUCAACUACUACCGCACGGGCAAGCUGCACUGCCCCGCCGACGUGUGCGGGCCGCUCUUCGAGGAGGAGCUGGCCUUCUGGGGCAUCGACGAGACCGACGUGGAGCCCUGCUGCUGGAUGACCUACCGGCAGCACCGCGACGCCGAGGAGGCGCUCGACAUCUUCGAGGCGCCCGACCUCAUCACCGGCGAGCCGCCCGGCGAGCCUGACGACGACGACGACUUGGCCGCCAAGCGCCUGGGCAUCGAAGACGUGGGCGCUGUGGGGGCCUCCUCGUCGUCCUCCGCCAACGGCUCCCCCCUCGACAGCCACGGCGGCCGCUGGAAGAGACUCCAGCCGCGCAUGUGGGCGCUCUUCGAGGACCCCUACUCUUCCCGCGCAGCCAGGUUCAUUGCUUUUGCCUCUUUAUUCUUCAUUCUCCUUUCUAUCACAACCUUUUGUCUGGAAACUCAUGAAGCAUUCAAUACCAUCAUAAAUAAAACAGACCCUGCUAUCAACGGCACCGAGGUGGUUCUGCAGUAUGAAAUUGAGACAGAUCCUGCUCUGACAUAUGUUGAAGGAGUCUGUGUGGUGUGGUUUACGUUCGAAUUUUUAGUUCGUGUUGUGUUUUCACCCAACAAAAUUGAAUUCAUCAAAAACCUCUUGAAUAUCAUUGACUUUGUGGCAAUCUUGCCCUUCUAUCUAGAAGUGGGCCUUAGUGGGCUCUCCUCUAAAGCUGCUAAAGAUGUGCUUGGUUUCCUCAGGGUGGUGAGGUUUGUGAGAAUUCUGCGAAUCUUCAAGCUCACACGACAUUUUGUAGGCCUCAGGGUGCUGGGUCACACAUUACGAGCAAGCACCAAUGAGUUUUUGCUGCUGAUAAUAUUUUUGGCAUUAGGAGUGUUGAUAUUUGCCACCAUGAUAUACUAUGCGGAGCGAAUAGGAGCCAAACCCAAUGACCCAUCUGCUAGUGCACACACAGAGUUUAAAAACAUCCCCAUUGGUUUCUGGUGGGCUGUGGUCACUAUGACCACUCUUGGGUAUGGAGAUAUGUAUCCAAAGACAUGGUCAGGUAUGCUAGUGGGUGCUCUGUGUGCUUUGGCUGGGGUGCUGACCAUAGCUAUGCCUGUGCCUGUUAUUGUCAACAAUUUUGGAAUGUACUAUUCUCUGGCCAUGGCAAAGCAGAAGCUUCCAAGAAAGAGAAAGAAGCACAUCCCACCCGCUCCUCAGGCAAGUUCCCCUACAUUUUGCAAGACAGACUUGAAUAUGGCCUGCAAUAGCACACAGGGGGAAAUGUGCCUGGGCAAAGAUAACCGGCUGAUGGAACACAAUAAAUCAGUGUUAUCAGGUGAAGACAGUGCAGAAAGUGAGCAGCCACUCUCACCUGUGGAAAGGCUCCCACCAAUGAGGCGCUCUAGUACCAGAGACAAAAACAGAAGAGGGGGAACAUGUUUCCUACUGACAGCAGGUGAUUACUCGUGUGCUACUGAUGGAGGGAUCAGGAAAGGAUAUGAAAAGUCUCGAAGUUUAAACAACAUAGCUGGCAUGGCAGGCAAUGCUCUGAGACUGUCUCCAGUAACAUCACCAUACAACUCACCUUGUCCUCUAAGACGCUCUCGAUCUCCCAUCCCAUCUCUCUUGUAAACCAGACGGCAUCAGUCGGCUACAUAAUGUUAACUGAAGCAUUGUUUAUCACCUUAUGGAAAUAAGUAUAGAUUUAACUGUAGUUUCCACUAAUAUUAGUAUAAAUCUUGCAUGCAAUAAUUUGCCAGUAACAAGCAAUGCCACUGGGAUAGCUGAAGAUCCUUAUUUGGUUUUAAAAUAUUCUCUAAAGUAGUGCUGUUUCCUCUCAUCUGUUUUUAAUCUACUUUACGAUGGCAAUAAAAGGAUAACUAAUGAACUUCACUGGCCAGUAUAAAUAAUCACACACACAUUUUCAGGGAGAGAUAAUUAAACCAACGUGCUUCCAACUGAUAACCACUCCAUUGAAUCUUCAUUUUUUGUGAUUCUAACCCAUUCUGAAGAUGUCUAGAAUCUCAUCUUGAUUGCAUAUAGUGUGACUUCAUUUUGAUCAUUUGCAUGGGCCAUAUUAUCUCCAUCCUCUGAAAUAUGUCUUGCAGAUUACCAGGACCACAAAUGGUUCUGGGUUGUAAGGGUUUGGAGUUUUGGGGGUUUUGUGUGUGUGUGUGUGUGUUUGUUUGUUUGCAUUGUACCAUUCUGGUGAAAUGAAAGCUAUGAUCAAUGGGUCUGCAUGUGGGAUUGGGUUGUUUCUUGUGGAUCUUUUUGAUGGUUGUAAUUUUUAUUUAUUUUCACUUUCAAUAAUGUUAUUUCUUGAUUUGUUAACUUUGGUUCUAGAGGGAUGUAUCAGAGUUCUGAAUGUUUUCGGUUGUUUACACACAGAUAACUGCAAAGAGGUUGUCAUUACUGGUUACACGCAAGCAGAGGCCAGAUCUCAUUCAUAAUGGCUUGGGAAGGCACAAAACAUGAAAGAAAGUGCUAUACAGAAUUUAUCAUGGAUUUUUGACUGCUGAAAAAGGGACAAUGGAA